rnacentral:misc_RNA from 1 species
CUGCCCUCAAGCACGGCUUGUGUGUUGGGCCCUCGUCCCCCGGGACGGGCCCGAAAGGCAGCGGCGGCACCGCGUCCGGUCCUCGAGCGUAUGGGGCUUCGUCAAACGCUCUGGUGGCCCAGCUCACACUGUCGGUUAUACAUUACCACAGUUUG